rnacentral:rRNA from 1 species
GACAGAGGGUGCAAACGUUGUUCGGAAUUACUGGGCAUAAAGCGCACGUAGGUGGUCCGCUAAGUCGCGUGUGAAAUCCCCCGGCUCAACCGGGGAAAUGCGCGUGAUACUGGCGGGCUUGAGAUCGGGAGGGGUGAAUGGAACUCCAGGUGGAGCGGUGAAAUGCGUAGAUAUCUGGAGGAACACCGGUGGCGAAAGCGGCGACCUGGACAGGCACUGACACUCAACUACGAAAGCGUGGGGAGCAAACAGG